AUGUUUAUAAAUACAACCUUGCACUUGACGACGAAAAAAAGAAUAAAUGGUAAAUAAUUUAAUCAAUGCUUUAAUUUUAGUUUCGCAGUUGGUGGUGUUGGUGAAUGGCGUGGAGGUCGACAAGGAUAUGGAGGAUUACCUGAAAAAAAACUACAAAUAAUGUUCAUGGAAUUUGCAACUACUGCGGUCAGUAACGGAUGGAAACACAACAAAUCUGCUGGACCACCGUAAACAGCUGCAUCCGGUUCGCUUAAAAUCUAAAAAAAAAACUAAAUGUCAAAAGCGAUGGAAAUUUUUUUUAAUCAAAGCCGUUCUAUGGGAAUGAUUCCAUUUGAAAAAACAGACUUCCAAAGUCCUGAACAUGAUCGCUAAAGAUAUGUGUUGCAGAUGAAGGUUUUACUGAAUUCAUAAAUGAAUUGGACUCACACUCUAUGUUGUCUAGCAAAACCUAUUUGCGUGAUGUAGUUCUUAUUGAAUAUGAUUUGCUACCGCGCAAUUUAAAUUUUAGACAGUGUAAAUUAUGUUGGAAUGACUACGGAUCCUUGGACAUCGAGAGCCAAUGAAGAUUAUAACAAUAAAAUGCUAUUUCAUAACCGAAAACUCUAUUUUACGUUCUCCGUCGCUCUCUACUUCUCAAUUGUUAACACCCACAAAUCAUACGGCAAAAAAUAUUGCUGACACUACUAGAUUAGUGUUAGAUGACAAGGAUGUUUCAUUCAUCAUACUUGAUCAAGAUAUUUUAAAACAAGAAGUCGUAAACUCCUACUUUCAAAGUACCAGGAAUAGUUUUCCCAAAAAAACAUUGUAGCUGCUGAAAAGUUGAAACAAGCUUAGAGCAAACGAAAAGCCACUUUGUUGAAAGAAAAUAACACACUAUGGAACAGCGCAAAUGCGCAAAUGACCUAUCAAAAUUGUUAUUACCUUUUGAAGAAGCUACUUUAUCGGUUCCAAAUGUUAUCAUUCCUAACAUAACAGAGAUUCGCCCAAAAUUAAAUGAAUUCAAAAUUGCGAACUCAAUAUGUAUUGGUUGGAGCAAUAAUUAGCGACCGUUUUUUGCAAAGCUCCAUGACAGCAACCAACACCAUCAACAGAACGACCAGCAAUCAAAUUUUCUUUCAUGCAGAGUAAAAUUUGUAAUAAAGUCCAAUCGUGUCGUUCAGGUGGCAUAAUAGUAAUAAGGCAGAAUUUAGAAAAACUAAUAAUUCCGGAUUACAGCGAUCCACUGAACUAUUGGGAGAUGAAAACUGAGACCCCAUUAAAGGAAAUAACACAGAAGUUUUUCUGUAUUCCAGCAAAACUGGACAAAUAAUUUACGACCACAGGACAAGGCUGAAUUCGA